UCAGUACCUCUUUGAGUUCCUUUAUGAUCUUCUCUUCUAACAAUGAUCUUCUCUUGUUGUUCUAACAGUAGACAAUAUUUUUCCCACUUGGUAAGUGUUUGUGUGCUUCAGCCAAAUCCUCAUAUAAGGAGUCUUCUUCACUAGCAUUACUACUAGUUUCAUAUUUUCUAGUAAAAGCUUUGCUGGCUGCUUCUUCCUCGUUCUCAUUCUCAGAAUCAAACAAGCAGAAUGCAUCGAUAACAGCGAUUGCAUUAAAUUAUAUCCAGAUACUGUGCUAAAAUGGUGCGUCGAAGGUCUUUGUAUAUGCCCAUUUACAUGUCGCCGCUCUCUCUCUCUAUCUCGGAAGUAUCAGUUGCUUUUUACAUAGUACACUAUUGAUUCCCAGGUAGAGGACACUAGCUCUAAGGAGUAGUCACUUCUUUGCUUUGCUAGCUUGGUGAGGAGUCUAGCGAGUAGCUAUCUCUAGUUUAGUUUGUUGGGUUGUAAUAAGUAGAUGCUCUGAUAUUGUAACAACUAGUCGAGUUUUCGCGCUAGUAUGUUAUUGAAUCUUUUGUCUAUGUAUGACCUUGCUUUUAUUAUGAUGAUUGUAUGAGGAUGUUAUCCAUGUGUUUGGAUUAUGACUUGGAUUAUGGCUUUUGGAGAUGUAACCUUGAUGCAUGAUUACUUAGUAUUUGAAAUGCUAUUUGAAUUAUUCCGUUGUUUAUUAAAUGAAAUAUCUCUGAUGUAUGGUUUUUAUUUGGAUGUAAACCUUAGAAU